CCUACGGGAGGCAGCAGUGAGGAAUAUUGGUCAAUGGACGAGAGUCUGAACCAGCCAAGUAGCGUGAAGGAUGACUGCCCUAUGGGUUGUAAACUUCUUUUAUAUGGGAAUAAAAUGUUCCACGUGUGGGAUUUUGUAUGUACCUUAUGAAUAAGGAUCGGCUAACUCCGUGCCAGCAGCCGCGGUAAUACGGAGGAUCCGAGCGUUAUCCGGAUUUAUUGGGUUUAAAGGGAGCGUAGGUGGAUUGUUAAGUUAGUUGUGAAAGUUUGGGGCUCAACCGUAAAAUUGCAGUUGAAACUGGCAGUCUAGAGUACAGUAGAGGUGGGCGGAAUGCGUGGUGUAGCGGUGAAAUGCUUAGAUAUCACGAAGAACACCGAUUGCGAAGGCAGCUUACUGGACUGCAACUGACGCUGAGGCACGAAAGUGUGGGUAUCAAACAGGAUUAGAUACCCCGGUAGUC
rnacentral:rRNA from 1 species